rnacentral:siRNA from 1 species
UAUACGGUGGUUGCUUCGGAG